AACCUGAGACAAGGUUCCAGGCCCUACGGGGUGCAGCAGGCGCGAAACCUCCGCAAUGUGAGAAAUCGCGACGGGGGGAUCCCAAGUGCCAUUCUUAACGGGAUGGCUUUUCAUUAGUGUAAAGAGCUUUUGGAAUAAGAGCUGGGCAAGACCGGUACCAGCCGCCGCGGUAACACCGGCAGCUCUAGUGGUAACAAUUUUUAUUGGGCCUAAAGCGUCCGUAGCCGGUUUAAUAAGUCUCUGGUGAAAUCCUGUAGCUUAACUGUGGGAAUUGCUGGAGAUACUAUUAGACUUGAGACCGGGAGAGGUUAGAGGUACUCCCAGGGUAGAGGUGAAAUUCUGUAAUCCUGGGAGGACCGCCUGUUGCGAAGGCGUCUAACUGGAACGGUUCUGACGGUGAGGGACGAAAGUUAGGGGCGCGAACCGGAUUAGAUACCCGGGUAGUCCUAACUGUAAACGAUGCGGACUUGGUGUUGGGGUGGCUUUGAGCUGCUCCAGUGCCGAAAGGGAAGCUGUUAAGUCCGCCGCCUGG
rnacentral:rRNA from 1 species